rnacentral:rRNA from 1 species
CUGGCUCAGGAUGAACGCUAGCUACAGGCUUAACACAUGCAAGUCGAGGGGCAGCAGGACGAUAGCUUGCUAUGUUGCUGGCGACCGGCGCACGGGUGAGUAACGCGUAUCCAACCUUCCCCUUAGUAGGGCAUAGCCCGGUGAAAAUCGGAUUAAUACCCUAUGUUGUGUCAUGAGGACAUCUGAAUAACACUAAAGAUUUAUCGCUAAGGGAUGGGGAUGCGUCCGAUUAGGUAGUCGGCGGGGUAACGGCCCACCGAGCCCUCGAUCGGUAGGGGUUCUGAGAGGAAGGUCCCCCACACUGGUACUGAGACACGGACCAGACUCCUACGGGAGGCAGCAGUGAGGAAUAUUGGUCAAUGGGCGUAAGCCUGAACCAGCCAAGUAGCCGUGCAGGAUGACGGCCCUAUGGGUUGUAAACUGCUUUUAUACGGGGAUAAAGUGAGGGACGUGUCCCUUAUUGUAGGUACCGUAUGAAUGAGGACCGGCUAAUUCCGUGCCAGCCGCAGC